rnacentral:rRNA from 1 species
GGUUUCCUGUGAAAGAUUAUAGGAAAUUUGACCUGCCCACUGAUGUUUUAAAGGGCCGCAGUAUUUUGACUGUGCAAAGGUAGCAUAAUCAUUAGUCUUUUAAUUGAGGGCUUGUAUGAAUGGUUGGACGAGGUGGAUGCUGUUUUAUAUUAAUUCGGUUUGAAUUUAAAUUUUGAGUAAAAAUGCUUAAAUGUCAUUAAGGGACGAGAAGACCCCAUAGAGUUUCAUAUAUAGAAUUUUAGUUGAGUUAAUAAGGAUGAUCUUAACUAUCAGUAAGUAUAUUUGAUUGGGGUGAUUAGAAGAUAAUUAAAACUCUUCUUUUUAAUAAAUUUGGAUGAGUAGAAUUUGUGAUCCAUAUAAUAAUGAUUGUAAGAUUAAAUUACCUUGGGGAUAACAGCAUAAUUCUUUUUGAGAGUUCAUAUCGAGAAGAGAGAUUGUGACCUCGAUGUUGGAUUGAGAUUAGUCCCGGGUGUAGAUGUUUAGGGAAAUAGGUCUGUUCGACCUUUAAAAUCUCACA